rnacentral:rRNA from 1 species
AUGGACGAUGUGGACGAUGUCCUAAAGACUUUCAACUUCUUUAGGGAGAUGAAAGCUAUAAAUAGGGAAUUCUUCGGUGACAUGCAACUUGAUGAGUCCGAUAGAGUUAAGAACAUAUUCUGGGGGAACGCAAGCUGCCGAGGAGCAUAUCAGCACUUUGGUGACUGUGUAAUGUUUGACACCACAUAUAAGACCAGCAAGUACCACAUGCCGCUUGGGGUGUUUGUGGGUAGUAACAACCACUUACAGACUACAUUCCUUGGUUUCGCCCUGAUAAGAGAUGAGGAUGAAGAUUCAUUCAGAUGGUUGUUCAAGACAUUUUUUAAGGUGCAUGAGAGGGAAGGCUCCUACAUGCAUCCUCAUAGGUACAACCGCCAAAACCACCCCCAACCACCACCCCCACCCCCCUCCCAAAAAGGAAAAUAA